UACAGAGGUCUCAAGCGUUGUUCGGAUUCAUUGGGCGUAAAGGGUGCGUAGGCGGCGCGGUAAGUCGGAUGUGAAAUCUCGGAGCUUAACUCCGAAACUGCAUUCGAUACUGCCGUGCUUGAGGACUGGAGAGAAGACUGGAAUUUACGGUGUAGCGGUGAAAUGCGUAGAUAUCGUAAGGAAGACCAGUGGCGAAGGCGGGUCUCUGGACAGUUCCUGACGCUGAGGCACGAAGGCCAGGGGAGCAAACGGG
rnacentral:rRNA from 1 species